rnacentral:sRNA from 2 species
CGUACGGUGCAACGAUGCAGCGAAGUCCGGUAAAAAUCCGGCACUGUCCCGCAACGGUGAAGUCUCCUCGGAGAAUAAGUCCGGUCGCCUGGAUCAAUGCCUCGCACGACGAUUCUCGAGGAAGAAGCGUUGUGUGGCAG